GUCCACACCGUAACGUUGGGCGCUAGGUGUGGGACUCAUUCCACGAGUUCCGUGCCGCAGCUAACGCAUUAAGCGCCCCGCCUGGGGAGUACGGCCGCAAGGCUAAACUCAAAGGAAUUGACGGGGCCCGCACAAGCGGCGGAGCAUGCGGAUUAAUUCGAUGCAACGCGAAGAACCUUACCUGGGUUUGACAUAUGCCGGAAAGCCGUAGAGAUACGGCCCCUUUUAGUCGGUAUACAGGUGGUGCAUGGCUGUCGU
rnacentral:rRNA from 1 species